rfam:Vitis vinifera, whole genome shotgun sequence of line PN40024, unoriented chromosome 18, chr18
GCCUUGGUGGUGAAAUGUUAGGCACGCAAGACUUAAAAUCUCGUGCUAAAAAGUGUGGUGGUUCAAGUCCUUUUCAAGGCA